rnacentral:rRNA from 1 species
AUUGAACGCUGGCGGCAUGCCUUACACAUGCAAGUCGAACGGCAGCACGGGAGCAAUCCUGGUGGCGAGUGGCGAACGGGUGAGUAAUACAUCGGAACGUGCCCAGUUGUGGGGGAUAGCCCGGCGAAAGCCGGACUAAUACCGCAUACGACCUACGGGUGAAAGCGGGGGAUCGCAAGACCUCGCGCAAUUGGAGCGGC